UUUGAUCCUCGGCUCAGGAUGAACGCUAGCGGGAGGCCUAACACAUGCAAGCCGAGCGGUAUUGUUUCUUCGGAAAUGAGAGAGCGGCGUACGGGUGCGGAACACGUGUGCAACCUGCCUUUAUCUGGGGGAUAGCCUUUCGAAAGGAAGAUUAAUACUCCAUAACAUAUUGAUUGGCAUCAAUUAAUAUUGAAAGCUCCGGCGGAUAGAGAUGGGCACGCGCAAGAUUAGCUAGUUGGUGAGGUAACGGCUCACCAAGGCGAUGAUCUUUAGGGGGCCUGAGAGGGUGAUCCCCCACACUGGUACUGAGACACGGACCAGACUCCUACGGGAGCAGCAGUGAGGANUUUGGNCAAUGGGGGAGAGCCUGAACCAGCCAAGUCGCGUGAAGGAUGAAGGAUCUAUGGUUUGUAAACUUCUUUUAUAUGGGAAUAAAGUGAGGAACGUGUUCCUUUUUUGUAUGUACCAUAUGAAUAAGCAUCGGCUAACUCCGUGCCAGCCGCCGCGGUA
rnacentral:rRNA from 1 species